rnacentral:rRNA from 1 species
CCUACGGGAGGCAGCAGUAGGGAAUCUUCCACAAUGGGCGAAAGCCUGAUGGAGCAACGCCGCGUGGGUGAAGAAGGUCUUCGGAUCGUAAAACUCUGUUGUUAGAGAAGAAAGUGCGUGAGAGUAACUGUUCACGUUUCGACGGUAUCUAACCAGAAAGCCACGGCUAACUACGUGCCAGCAGCCGCGGUAAUACGUAGGUGGCAAGCGUUAUCCGGAUUUAUUGGGCGUAAAGGGAACGAAGGCGGUCUUUUAAGUCUGAUGUGAAAGCCUUCGGCUUAACCGGAGUAGUGCAUUGGAAACUGGGAGACUUGAGUGCAGAAGAGGAGAGUGGAACUCCAGGGGUAGCGGUGAAAUGCGUAGAUAUAUGGAAGAACACCAGUGGCGAAAGCGGCUCUCUGGUCUGUAACUGACGCUGAGGUUCGAAAGCGUGGGUAGCAAACAGGAUUAGAUACCCGAGUAGUC